CCUACGGGGAGCAGCAGUGGGGGAUAUUGCACAAUGGGGGAAACCCUGAUGCAGCGACGCCGCGUGGGUGAAGAAGUAUUUCGGUAUGUAAAGCCCUAUCAGCAGGGAAGAAAGAAGACGGUACCUGACUAAGAAGCCCCGGCUAACUACGUGCCAGCAGCCGCGGUAAUCCGUAGGGGGCGAGCGUUAUCCGGAUUCACUGGGUGGAAAGGGAGCGUAGACGGCCGUCCAAGCCAGGAGUGAAAGCCCGGGGCCCAACCCCGGUACUGCUCUUGGAACUGUGCGGCUAGAGUGCGGGAGGGGCAGGCGGAAUUCCUGGUGUAGCGGUGAAAUGCGUAGAUAUCAGGAGGAACACCGGCGGCGAAGGCGGCCUGCUGGACCGCGACUGACACUGAGGCACGAAAGCGUGGGGAGCAAACAGGAUUAGAUACCCUUGUAGUC
rnacentral:rRNA from 1 species